UGGGGUCGUGGUGUAACGGUUGCAUUACUGGCUUUUAACCAGUCAGGUGGGGGUUCGAAUCCCUCCGACCUCAU
rnacentral:tRNA from 2 species